AGUGAACGCUGGCGGUAGGCCUAACACAUGCAAGUCGAACGGCAGCACAGUAAGAGCUUGCUCUUACGGGUGGCGAGUGGCGGACGAGUGAGGAAUACAUCGGAAUCUACUUUUUCGUGGGGGAUAACGUAGGGAAACUUACGCUAAUACCGCAUACGACCUACGGGUGAAAGCAGGGGAUCUUCGGACCUUGCGCGAUUGAAUGAGCCGAUGUCGGAUUAGCUAGUUGGCGGGGUAAAGGCCCACCAAGGCGACGAUCCGUAGCUGGUCUGAGAGGAUGAUCAGCCACACUGGAACUGAGACACGGUCCAGACUCCUACGGGAGGCAGCAGUGGGGAAUAUUGGACAAAGGGCGCAAGCCUGAUCCAGCCAUACCGCGUGGGUGAAGAAGGCCUUCGGGUUGUAAAGCCCUUUUGUUGGGAAAGAAAAGCAGCAGGUUAAUACCCCGCUGUUCUGACGGUACCCAAAGAAUAAGCACCGGCUAACUUCGUC
rnacentral:rRNA from 1 species